rnacentral:lncRNA from 1 species
UACAGCCGCCGUUAUUUAAAAACUACAGCACUUCAAUACCAAAUAAAACCUUUGUUAAGGACCUAAAUAGAGUAGUCUCCGACUGCUCUUCUAAAUUUAGUAAUUAGAAUCGAGUAAUAAAUAGCAAUUAGAAUAGACCCAACAAUUAAUCUAGUCACCAAAACGAACUAAUUAUCAAGGGCAUAAUUGUCUUUGCGGUUAGAGCUUAUCCAAAUCCAAUAAACGCCCAAAAGAAGAAUAUGCCACUUGGUUCGUUUACGCCACUUUUUGGUAACGUUAGACUGCAAGAGAAGUUUGAACGCUGAUUGGGCAGAUUCAGGGGUGCGCUUUGGCAUUGCCGAUACAAGGGAUAAUUUAAAUUAAUUAAAGAUUACUUUUAAUCAUAUUUAAUUUACAAUUUUCUUUUCAUAAUUCGUAUUAUGAUCUGUAACCACGUCAUUCCUCUUCUAGGGUUUUAAGAUUUCAACACGAGUGGGAUUGUGGGAGCAGUGCAAAAAGAAAACAAUUCCUUUGCUUUGGAAAUUAAUAAGAGUACAAAGAAUACUCGUUGAAUAUUUAUUUUUUUAC